rnacentral:rRNA from 1 species
UCGGCUUAGAGUUUGAUCAUGGCUCAGAUUGAACGCUGGCGGCAGGCUUAACACAUGCAAGUCGAACGGUAAAGUACCUUGCUACUUACGAGUGGCGGAGGGGUGAGUAACGUAUGGAAAUUUACCGAAUGGAGGGGGACAACCUUUGGAAACGGCUGCUAAUACCGCAUAACGUCAAGAGACCAAAGGGUUUCGACUUGCCAUUUGAUGACCCCAUAUGAGAUUAGCUAGUUGGAGUGGUAAUGGCUCACCAGGGCCACUAUCUCUAUCUGGUUUGAGAGGAUGACCACCCACACUGGGACUGACACACGGCCCACGCUCCUACGGGAGGCAGCAGUGGGGAAUAUUGCACAAUGGGGGGAACCCUGAUGCACCCAUGCCGCGUGUAUGAAG